GGAUCGAUGGUGUAGUUGGUCAUCACGUCCGUCUCACAUCAUGAAAAAUAAUAUGGUUGGUACACGGGAGGUCCCCAGUUCGAACCUGGGUCGAUCCA